GACGAACGCUGGCGGCGUGCUUAACACAUGCCAGUCGAACGGUGAAGGGACCAGCUUGCUGGUUCUGGAUGAGUGGCGAACGGGUGAGUAACACGUGAGUAACCUGCCCCCUUCUUCUGGAUAACCGCAUGAAAGUGUGGCUAAUACGGGAUAUUCUGGGUCUGUCGCAUGGCGGGCCCGGGAAAGAUAUUGCUUCGGUGGGGGAUGGGCUCGCGGCCUAUCAGCUUGUUGGUGGGGUGAUGGCCUACCAAGGCGGUGACGGGUAGCCGGCCUGAGAGGGUGGACGGUCACACUGGGACUGACACACGGCCCAGACUCCUACGGGAGGCAGCAGUGGGGAAUAUUGCACAAUGGGCGCAAGCCUGAUGCAGCGACGCCGCGUGAGGGAUGGAGGCCUUCGGGUUGUAAACCUCUUUCGCCAGUGAAGCAGGCCUGCUCCUUGUGGGUGGGUUGACGGUAGCUGGAUAAGAAGCGCCGGCUAACUACGUG
rnacentral:rRNA from 1 species